UCUCACGGGAGUUCGAUGCCGCAGCUUUAUAUAAUACCUGUACCUGGAGCUGUCUUGGUCAUUUUGUCUGGUUGCUGGGGUUUUCUGAGCAGUCUGAUGUUCCAUCUCAUCAACCUGUGCAAUCAUUGCCAGCUUCUUCAUUACCCAUGUCUUCCUGCUGAUUCUCUUUGUGUAGUCUCCAUCUACAGCUGUCUACUUCCGCUGUUCUGGAAUUCACUCUCAAUAAAUCUUCAAUUUAGAAAGGGAAUAAACAGAAUAUGCCUGUUCUAAUCUGAGAUCUCCCCAGCCUGUUCUCUUAGGAUGAUCAUGUUUUUUAUUUGGGCCCAUUGACUCUGAAAAUACUGUAAAUAGUAGGUAGUCUUUAAUGUCAUCCGUGAAUGCCAGCUGAUAGUUUUUAGUCACCUGCAGGGGAUGUGAGCACAUCACUUCAUUUUCUUUUAAAUCCAGAAAAGAAAAAUUUACUGUGCACAUUUGCUUUUCAAUACCAGUGACUUGUUUUAAUCUCAUUGAUUCUGUUUCUAAUCUAUUAACUUGUCGUUUAUGUUGUUCAGUAGAUACUUUUCUUUUAUAUCUUUAGCUUUUCUGAUCAAUUUUUUACCUUUCCUAUUUAAUCACGUUGAUUGACAUCUCUUCCUUUUCCUUUUUGUUUUCGUAUCGUAGAAUAUAUCCCACUUAAUAGUUAUGGGAUAUUAAUUCUAUAUUAACUAUAUAUCCUAGAAUAUAUCCCAUCCCCCCAGAAAAUAUAUGCCCUACUGUCCUGCUUUCUCUUUGAUUAGAGGGGUUUUUACCUGAUGAGGAGUUGUUAAUCAAAUCAAAGCUUUUCCUUAACCUGCCUUUGGUUGAUGACAAGUGUAAGAUGGAGCAUUUAAUGUAAAAACCCCCAAACUGAUGACUCUUUUACUUUCUUGCCUUGGAUAACAGCAAAACAAAGGCUGGCUGCAUUUUAGGAGAUGCUUUAGUGUAACUUGCUCAACUUAUUCCUGCUUUUUCUGAACACUACUGAAGCAAAAGCAGAACCAUGGGAGCUAUUCAGGCUUGGGCAGGCACUGUUCCUUUAGCCUCAUAUUUACAGCAUUAUCACUGACAUUUUGGAAGCCUCAAAAGAAAAAAAUAAUCAUAGAGUUUUGUAGACUUGGUGUUAGAAUGCUUCUGUUUUCCUUCUGCUCAUUAACAAAUGCCAGGACGUCCUCUUCCACACGUCCUUUGGGUUCUUCAGAUUUUUCAAUGCAUUGAAGGAACUUAAAGCUCAAGUCAGGUGUUGAAUUGGUGGGACUUGUAUCAAGGUGGCAGGAGCUUGGUGUGCUUAAGUGUGACUCACUACAUGGAAGAAAGUUUAAAAAAAAAAAAAAAAAAUUUGAAAAAUGUGUUAUAUAAUGUGGAUUAAAAUGUUUCUGAAGAAGCAUCUGUUAAAGCAGAUGCUGCAGUACGUUUCUUUAAUUGCCGUUGGUCUAACAAUUAAUCUGCCUCUUGACGGGUUUUCCAGAACACAUGGUUCUCCAAGAAAUCCAAAUCUGUGAAUCAGAGUCCAAAGCUGGAAAAAACAACAAGGUGGAAGUCAGGCUCCCGUGGAAAAUUCCUCUUGUCUUUGACCGCAGCCUCAAGGGUGCACUUUGUGCUGCAGAAAUUAUAAACCCGGCAAGUUUGUUCCUAAGGAAAUGAUGCAUUUUCGUGCUUUGAUCCCUUUUACCUACUGCUUGCAAGUAAAGGUGGUGAAGUCACUUUGCUUUUACUCAGUCCGGUCUAUGAAAGCUGCAGCUUCUGGGAAUCCAUUAUUUUUACUGAACGCUCACAGACAUCGUUGGAAUCCAAAUAUUCGAUGUUUGCUGAGGAUAAGAACAUUUUAUCUGGGGCAUCUUCUCUGUAGGAGUUUGCUUUCAGGCUUCCCAGAAUUGCUUUCUAUGCAAGAGGUUAUCGAAGAUUAUACAGUUCUUCAUUACUUAAUAGUUCAUGUCCUAGCACUGAAUAGGCACAACUUCUCCCCAGCUGUUUUAUGGAGGAAAAGGGGCAGAAUCCGGGCUGCGGAGGCACUCGGUUCUGUAUUUAAUGCCUGGGAUGCCCCGUGUCAGACUUGAGAACCUGUUCUGAAGCUUGGUAGACCCGGGCAUCGGCAGCGGGCGACCCGUCCUCCAGAGAGACCUUCCCAUGCAGGGUGGCAUCCUCACACAUGCAGGCAUCGCAGUCGGCGUUGACACGACCCAUGGGGCAGGUGAUGUUGCAGCCUGGAGGGAGAAGGAGGUGGGUCAGAAAGCAGCCCCCAGUCCCCCAAACGCCCCCGGCGCGG